AGUUGAACGCUGAGCCCGCCGCCGGGCGGCUUGGCGGUUGUUUGAGGGAGGGCGGUUGAAGAUGUGGCCGCCCGCCGAAGGGGAGCGAUCGCUGCUCGCUUUGAGCUGACAUUAAUGGAUGAGAAGGUCAUGUCUCACUUGAUGAAUCUGGAUGAGAAUGUAGCGUGGAAAGUGCUCUUAAAACUACUUCUACUUCCCAGCUUUACAUACUGCUGAAGGAGCACCCCAGGGAGAAGAUGAUCAUCUAUUGUCAAAAAGUAACACCUUUUCUAACAGGAACAGUAGAAUUAGAAGCACGAAUCUGGAAUUAUGGCAGCAUGUUAUAAACGAGAGCAGCCGGGAGACAACCAAUGCACAAAUCUUUGCUUCCUGAAAAAAGUACAGGAAAGUUAAGCCAGGAAAAAAUCCUCAAAAUUAUGAACAUGGUGAAAAAUAAAGAAGUGAGCAUUGAAGGAGCUUUACAUUUGGCACAGAAAGAGGUGUACGCUGAAAAGGAUUCACAGGAUUUGCUAACUGGGUCACAAUUUAACUUCAUUAUCUACAAACACAAACACUAUCGGUGGCAGAAACGAAUUUUGCAGAUUGAUUUCAACACAAAGACCAUUUUUAACAUUGAAAAAGGAAUUAUUAAGAAACAGUUCCCUUUCUCACAAGUCAAAGCUUGUGAAGAUACUGAAAGGAGGCGCUUCAGCAUUGUGUUUCAUGGGCGACAAGAUUAUGAGCUGGAAGCAGUGUCUCUUGAUGAUAAAAGGAAGAUAACAUACCUUCUGAGCAGAGUUAUACAGAGCAAUUCGUGCAAGAGACCAGCGGAGCCCUGCUCUGGGAGAGCUGCGGAAUGUGACGUGAUACACGAAGGACUCCUGGAUUUGCAGCAAAACACUUUUCCAUCCACCGAAUGGGUGAAGUACUUGGUACAACUACGUGAAGGAGAGUUGACUUUAUAUUGCAUAGGUCUGGGAGGAAAGAACAAGACUGCAGACCCUGUAACAAAUACAAUUAAUUUGUCAGGUGGUAAUGUGAGUGUCAGCAAGGAGAAUGGAUGCCGUACCUUCUCAGUCCAGACCAAAGAACACAAUUAUUUGUUUCGAAUACCCUUUACUGUCCAAAACAACAGGGCAGAGGAUGUUGGCAAGCUCCAGAAUGAGUGGGUGUCUCUCAUAGAACGGUACUGUCAGCUGUGCGUGGGUGCCGCACUGCCUCAGGAGGGGUCUCAAGGCUGCACCUCCUCCGAAGCUGAUUACGAGGAUUUUACUGUACCUCUGAAUGAACAGAAAGAAGAGGCCCUCUACUUUGGUGUGAGUUCUGCGACAGCCAGUCUGAACAAGUCUUCGAGCCCCCAGACAAAGCCUGCAGAGGGGGAAGCAGCCCCAGCAUCACCAUCGCUUCCACUUCCCCUAAGUAAGGCAGAGGUACCGCCAGCCCCGCCUGUAUUCCCGCAGCCCCCCAGCCUCUCUCCAUCGACAAAGAGAACCAAAGCCUUUCACUGGGAUGUUGUUCCUUACGAUAAGAUUCAAAAAUCUCUCUGGGGAUCAUGUGAUCCAUGCAAGAAAAAAAUAGAUGUAUCCAGACUCUGUGAUCAGUUCCAGAUCCAGGACGUGGCGGUAUUUUCGGGCAAUGAACCUUCAGCGAAUCAGCACAUCAUGUUAGAUCAAAAAGUUGCACAUAACUUCAACAUUUUUCUUAAAAGUUUCCGUAUAAAACCAAGCGAGCUGAAAGAAAAACUAUACAUUAUACAUGAAGAGAGUGGUGGACUUACAGAUGAGCAGAUUACAGCACUAAGAAGGUACAUGCCAACACCAAAAGACGCAGAAAGGUACCACUCAUUCAAGGGGUCUCCUUCCCAGCUGCACGUGGUUGAUCAGUUUAUGUUAGAGAUGUGUAAAAUCCCCCACUUAGGCCAGAGGCUGGAUCUCCUGCUUACCAUACGUGAGCUCCCUGUGAGCAUGAGAGAUUUGGAGCCUCUAAUAAACCAGAAAAUCCAAGCGAGUAAGCAGCUGCAAUCCAGCCAGAAAUUUGUCGCUGUCUUGGAGUACGUUUUAGCCAUUGGGAACCAUUUAAAUGAAAAGGCUGGAAAAGAGAAGGCUAAAGGAUUUCGAUUGUCAUCUUUGGCCAAAUUACCUCUGUUGCGGGGUAAGGAGAGGACAUUCACCUUGCUUCAUGCCCUUGUGGAACAGAUCUUCUUACAUGAGCCUGAUCUGGCCAAAUUUUCUCAGGAGUUGACAGAAUUUGAAGCUGUUCCCGAUGCUUCUAUGAAGGGCCUCAGUGCUGAAGUUGAUGUUUUAAAAAACGAAUUGGAAAACGUUAUUCAGUGCAGGCGGCUUAUUAAACCCAAAACAAUCAAGGCAACGCCCCAGGAGUCACAGUUCUGCAAGGAACUAAAGGAUUUAAUUCAGAAAUAUGAAGGGGAUCUAUCCCAGCUGUCAAAAAGAUGUGAUGAAAUGAAGAAGCUUUAUAGCAACAUACUGGUAAAAUUUGGGGAGCCGCAAGACCUGGACUCUCAGGAGCUCUUUGGAUGGAUAUCUUCAUUCAUUAGUGAGUUUAGGAAGGCCUGUGCUGAAGUCAUGCCAUAAGGACAACACAAAUCUUAUAAAGAGAGGCCAGAGCUCCCAUCUACCUCUCUUCAUGAUGAGGCUGUGGGCUAUCGACUGAGGAGCUGGGAGCCCUAGAGCCUGAUUUCUAUGAACGCGGCGACUACACUUGGAUUUUGGAUCCAGUUCUGGGGACCGAACGCACAGAAGUUAUGCAGAGCCUGUGCUUGAGCUUUACUUCCAGACUGCUUUCGGUAGUGGUACAAACACAAGAGAAAGUGAAAUCCGGUCCUGAAUCCUCAAGCAGGCAACCGAGAGACACAGGUACAGUAAAGACUUAGUAUCCAGCUGCCUGAAUAGUUGGGUAAGUUACACGGUGUUACUUCCUUUCGCUGAUUGAAAGACUCAUUUACUAAUUUUCUAACCCACUACCAACUGUGAACUGCAAAUAUUAGGACUGAAUAGACACUUGAUGUUAAAUAUGUCGUAGAUUUAAGUUACAUAAAUUCCAUGCACUCCCUAAGUUAGCCCCACAUUUUGAAGAAGAAAACGUACAUUGAGAUUAUAAUAUUUGCUAUCCAAAUAAUCUAGUAACCAAAAUAUUAAAGGGAGAAAAUGGCACAUUGGUUUUAAAAGAUGUGUGCUUUUGGGAAAACAGCAGAAACAAGGUUUGAGAUACUGUGCUCUGCCUCUGAAAGACUGAAGUAAAAUUCAGACACUUUGAGGUUCUUUUGCACGUUUGCAGUCACAAAUAAUUUCUGGAAAGGUCAAAUUUUAGAGAAAAUUUCUAGAAGAUUUGGGGUCAAAUUUUCUCCUCUCUCUACUAUCACAAAUUUUCUCCCUCCUAUCCCUAAACUACCACAACAAAACAAAUGUCAAGAUUUUUCUUUGGAAGUUUGUUUUUCAGAACUUACCCAUCAUAAAAAGUCUGUGGACAAACCCAACCCCUCUACUCUUCUCAAAGAAAGGAUUCAUUCGGCCAAAGACUAUUUCUUUCAUUGAAGUGGAAAGUACACUUUUGGGGGUUGACCCCCAAAUAGUUUUGUUCCUUUAAACCUUUUCCUUGGUUAAUUCAUUUUAAAGAAAUCAUUUAUUCACUCAGUUUCGCUCAUUUAGGCCUCUCCAUAUGGAGCUCUCCCGUGGCUGUUGCACUACUGGGUCAUCCCAACUUGCCUCGACACCAGCCCCUGCAAGCAGCUUGACCGCUGCAAAAGGUUAAAAAACCUGUUGUAGGAGGGGAGAAUAAUUGUUGGAAGCCAUAUACCGGGGAGAAGAAAUAAAAAAAAAAAUGCGCUGGCACGUUUCUGUCCCAGUUGCUACUGUGUUUCUAGAGAUUUGGAGGGCUGUGCCCAGCUUCGGAGAUUUGCUCUUAUGAUAGUUGUUCUAGACUUGGAGGAGAGAGCCCAGCUGCCUGAAGGCACCACACGGAUUUUCACGUUUCCCAGUAGUGUGUGGAUGUAGCAGGACCAUCUGACAUCACCCGUGCUGCAAGGAGGCUGGAAACUAGUCUGAGCAGCAAACGGAUGCGAUGAAAGCUGGUAAGUUAAAACCCAAAACCUACAAUAUCUACAAAAUCAUGGGGUUUUUCUUCUGUUAAAGUUGGCACAUCUCAACAGAUGGCACUAAAAAUCUGACCGCGAAGCCAUUCCCUGUGGCUUCCUCCCCGAAUAUCAUCACGAGCCUUCCACUCAAUCCACUCCCUUGAAAUAUCAAACAAGCAAUACAACCAAUGGACAGUCUCUUAAUUCACUCUCUUAGACACUUCUUUUAACUCAAAUUAUUCCCUCAGCAACGCUAUUUUUAGUUUUUCAUUGGCCCUUGCUAUGAAAACCACUCGGUGAGAAAUUUAUCUGGGACAAAUUCUCCUGAGGGGACGUAAUCUGUGUACCUCGAUUGAUGUGAGAGGAGAUGCACUAAAUCACACCACUUCAGGAUCUAAUCUUUCCGUGGUUUCCUUGACGCUAAAUUAGUAAAUUAUAUUCAACAGUUUAAGCUAAAUUGCCUGCCAGCAGAUUGCUGAAGCCUUUGCAAACUCCAUCCUGAGUUCACCGUUACCAUCUUGCUCAGUGAAAUGGGCUCUGAAACUCAGAGCAAGUAACAAACCAUAUUCCUUCCCCUUCCCUCCUGCUAAAAGGGAAAGAUUUUUCUGCUAGGCUAUUUUUCUGGUUUUCUGACUGUAUCAUCUGAUUUUAUUCCAUUUGGGCAAAAAAAUCACACUUCUUGCCUCAUUAAAAUGCAAUUGAAAAAAUCUAAGAUCAUUGCACAGGUCAGCGCAGUGCUUCGCAAAAUUAUUUAUUUCAUAAAAUUGCACAAAUGUAUCAGGUAAAUUAGUUGAAAACACAAAAAAUAAAGGAUUUUUUUUUUCUAGACAGGAACUGAAAUGUAAUAGUAAAACAAGAAUUAAAUUUUACUUUAUAACAAGUUAUAUAGCUGCGGGUGCCUCCUAUAAAGGCAGCUGAUGUAUUUAAGUUGAUUUUACGGUCAUAGUCCACCAAAGCUCUGUUUUUACAAGAGGGAUAAACAUGUAAAUUAGGAGGAGAUUUACUGGAAAUAUUUUGAAUAAAAAUAAACACAAGAAAUAUUAAACUAUUUGUGGGUAGAGCAGUCAACAUUAACGAUGAAAUUUACUGGCCUAUUGAUGUUGCAAACAAUUGACUCCUACCUGGGAUCUACGAAGGAGUAAAAAGAAGCUACAGGGUCAACUUUUGCUCUCAGUUUUACACCGAUGUAAAUCCAGACUAAGUCUAUUGGACUCGCUGUAACAGCGUAAGCGUGGAAUAUUUCCCGACAUCCAUCAGCGAGUAACUGCAGGAAGAUGCUGCUGGAAGGAGUCGCAGAAUCCGGCCACGAGCAUUUCAAACCCUGCUUCACGCUUUGUGCUCGGGCCUGGAGGGUGCUCAGGUUCGCAGUACUGGCCAAACAGAAGGUUUGGCUGCGUAAGAAAUGCUGAAUAAAGACCUCAAAUGCCAACGCUGUCAGCAUAUCUGAACGGUUUUACCUUUACACACAUGCAGACAUCCUGCUGACUUCAUUUGCUUAACCACCUCUAAAAUUCCCACACAAUUUUAAAAUUCUGUUUCCUAAGACGGGUAACAAAGCACACAUUUAUUAUAGUGGAGUGUCAGGGAAAUUAAAGAAGCCCAACAAAUACAAGUAGACAAUUGUUUUUCAUUGGUUUCUCUGUUCUGCUGCUGCAGAAAAUUUGAAAAAAUACUUGAAGAUGGAAUGGAAUGAAGAGAGGUCCAUUAAAAAUAGGCAAACACGCAGAAAAAGCUUACUUAAAAAGCCAAGCAAGGUUGGCUUUCAGAUUAAAAUAAAGCAAGGAAAAUCUAGGCUUGAUUCUGCAUCUGUCUGAAUUAGAUAGCAAAAACUUUUGUUCAUUUUAGUCAUUCCAGCCAUAUGGGUAUGUGUGGCUGAAGAUUUCAUUAUAUUCCUGUAGGAUCUCUUUACAUUUUAUGCCUAAGUGAAGUGAAAUUUACUUUAUAAAAUAUUUACGGAAUCUUCUUAAGAACCAUUAAGCCCAUUAGCCAGGUGAAUUCGUUUUGGAUUCGGCCAACAAACUGCGUAACUAGCUGCGAGCCGCAGGGCCAGCUGUCGAGAAGACAAGUCGGUCUGUACGGGAGCCAAGAGCCAGAUGGAGACGACAGCCAGCUCAGGAAAUACAAUAUUUAGCCCGCGAGAACGUCAAAAGGCGGUAAAAAGCCUGACCACCCAGCUCCAUCGACACAGGUUCGAAUCGUCAUCGGUACUCUGCCUUUGAAUGCAGCCUCCCGCCCCCCUCGCCCCCCGCACCGUUCCACCGCCCGCGUCCUCGUUAGGGCGAGCGCAGAGCGGAGGGGAGCAGCACCGGAGCUGGGGGUUCAUCCUGGGAGGAUGCUGGCGGGCGCUCAGCCCGCUCACUACAAAACCCUGUUACGCAUCCAGCAAACGGAAAGCUCGGCUUGACAGAAGGGAAAUAUAAUUAGGGUAAAGAAAAAAAGCAAAGGAGAGGAAGGAGGGCUGCUGUUACCGAGGGGUUAGGAGGAUUCGUAAGGCCUCCAGACACGAGCAAGGACCUCAAAAGCAGGAGAGGAAGUCUGAGGCAGAUUAUUUCUCCCUUUUGUGAGGCAAAUGACUAAUUAUACAAAGCAAGAUGGUUUUUUUUUUUCCAAAGAGAUUUGAAAAGUAUCAUGCAAUAUUGAUACAAAAAUUGUAUUUAAUGCAAGUUUACAAGCCAAGAGGUAAAUGAAAAUGUAAAUGUAACCAUGGUGUUUUCUCCUUAUUCUCCCUGCGACUCCUCCCUUUGUCAGAAAGGUGCCUAGCACACCUGCAGAAGGUCCCUGUGAAAGGGCAAAAUACUUCCAACUGGAGACAGUUUUAGGCUUCCACGGCAUGCAUCCAGAAAGGGAAAGAAUCCAUGAGUUUAAUCUAACUGAAUUUCCAUUCUUGAGCAUCGUCGCUAUUUAUUUACUCAUUUUUCUUUCACAGGAAAAAAAAAAAAAAAAAGAAUCCCUGUUAGAGGGAGCUGGAUCAAUACUAAGAAAUUCUUUGUCAGAUAAAAUAAGAACGACGAUUAACCUUGCUGCUUAUGAAUUAAAUGCAAACCUCACUUUUCAACUCGUCUUUCCCCCAGCAUCCCCAAGGUAUUCAAGUCAGAGACGUGGAACAGGAAAAUGGUGUUGCCAGGCCAGACUUGGCAAGUGCCUGCUCCUGCAGACAAGGAAAUAGGAAAGUGAACUUUUGAAACCCCUGAUUCAGCUUAUACCUUGUCUGGCUGACCAACUUGGUCUCUGGCGUUACUUUCCUUUUUUUCAGUUUCUUCAUCUGAGUUUUGCCUAUUUUCUUCUUUUUCCACUUUUUCCCCUCUAUAGAGACAGCUGAUGUCAUCGUCCACAACAAAAUGAAAUUAAAACAGCCUGUCUGAAAUGAUUGCAAAAUUUUUAAUCUGACAAAUGAUUGAUCUUUCAAAAUUGUCAGCAGUUUCAAAUUUCAAUCUAGAUUUCUGUCCAUGUUAUAAAUAUAUUUGUUGUCAUUUGUGCAGUGUUAAAAGGCUACUCAGCAGCAUGAGGUACAGAAGAGUUUUUAAGCACGAGAUGUUGAAAUAAUGUGGAAUUAUUUAUACAUUUGUAUUUAUUUACAUAAUAUUGUGGCAGAAAUUCUGUUCCUGUUUUCAUACAGCUCUGUUUCACAAGAGUCCUCCAGACAGGUGUUCCUAUGUGUUGGCAUAAAGCUUUUAAUCGACAGAUCCAGUUCCUACAAAAGGGACAAAGUUGUGCUGCAAGUAUUUGUGUUAUUUCUUGUUUCCUUUCCUCGUUUACAGCAAGUGGUACUUCUCAGCCCGACUCUUCUAUCCCUCUUUGUUGGUGUCAUUGAAUAAGAGGAUAUCGACGCAUUCCUAGAAAACAGUAAAAUUUCUUUUUACCUCUUGUCUGACCAAUGAGAUUCCUUACAAUUUGAGUCAGGCUUUCUGAAUUUUAGAGAGUAUUGUAUUUGUUGCUACCUAAGAGGACUUCUGGCUGCUUUAUGGCUUCUGAAAGGCUUUGCUGAGUUCUGCAGACUUUGUGCUUCACCCCCAGUUCUCCACACCAACUGAAAACCAGUCCCAGCUCACAUUUGCCUGCAGAAAGCCUCAAUGUUCAGCAGAGAGUGGAUCUCGGUGCUUUUUAUUCCUCCUCUUAGUUUCCUGUUGCUUCUUUAAUUUCUUUUGUCUGUUAGCGUCCAGAUUUAUGGCCAGCACGGAACUGAGGUGCUGUGUGAGCUGUCUGUAUCCCAAGCCUCGUCCUCUACAGAACGGGAGGCAGCAAGAUGUGCCGGCAUCCGCAGCUCCAACCCAGAUCAGCACCUUUCCCAGCUGGGUUUGAAAGGCAGAAAAGCUGCACCCAGACAGAGAUGCCUCUGGGCAAGAGGAGAAUGAAGGCUGCUGGUGGUAAAUGGUUGACAUGGGACAUAUUUAUUGCAAAGCUAUUAUAGGCACAAAAAUUUGUUGUAUUGAAAGGUAUUUACCUAAAAAUCAUAUGCUCAAUUUCUUACAAACUA